rnacentral:rRNA from 1 species
GACGUAGGGCGCGAGCGUUGUCCGGAUUUAUUGGGCGUAAAGAGCUCGUAGGCGGCUCGUUGCGUCGGCUGUGAAAACCCGCAGCUCAACUGUGGGCUUGCAGCUGAUACGGGCGGGCUGGAGUUCGGUAGGGGAGACUGGAAUUCCUGGUGUAGCGGUGAAAUGCGCAGAUAUCAGGAGGAACACCGGUGGCGAAGGCGGGUCUCUGGGCCGUAACUGACGCUGAGGAGCGAAAGCGUGGGGAGCGAACAGG